rnacentral:rRNA from 1 species
UCCUACGGGAGGCAGCAGUGAGGAAUCUUGCGCAAUGGGCGAAAGCCUGACGCAGCCACGCCGCGUGCCGGAUGAAGGCCCUAUGGGUUGUAAACGGCUUUUACUAGGGAAGAACGAGAGGGUUUCGAUCUUCUGUGACGGUACCUAGUGAAUAAGCACCGGCUAACUCCGUGCCAGCAGCCGCGGUAAUACGGAGGGUGCAAGCGUUGUCCGGAAUCAUUGGGUGUAAAGGGUACGUAGGCGGGAGCCUAAGUCUGGGGUGAAAUCUUGCCGCUUAACGGUAAAAUGGCCCUGGAUACUGGGUUUCUUGAGUGCAGAAGAGGCAGGUGGAAUUCGUGGUGUAGCGGUGAAAUGCUUAGAUAUCACGAAGAACAUCAGUGGCGAAGGCGGCCUGCUGGUCUGCAACUGACGCUGAGGUACGAAAGCGUGGGGAGCGAACAGGAUUAGAUACCCUGGUAGUCCACGCCGUAAACGAUGCAUACUAGGUGUUGGCCUUUGGGCCAGU